rnacentral:rRNA from 1 species
AGUGAACGCUGGCGGUAGGCCUAACACAUGCAAGUCGAACGGCAGCACAGUAAGAGCUUGCUCUUACGGGUGGCGAGUGGCGGACGGGUGAGGAAUACAUCGGAAUCUACUUUUUCGUGGGGGAUAACGUAGGGAAACUUACGCUAAUACCGCAUACGACCUACGGGUGAAGGCAGGGGAUCUUCGGACCUUGCGCGAUUGAAUGAGCCGAUGUCGGAUUAGCUAGUUGGCGGGGUAAAGGCCCACCAAGGCGACGAUCCGUAGCUGGUCUGAGAGGAUGAUCAGCCACACUGGAACUGAGACACGGUCCAGACUCCUACGAGAGGCAGCAGUGGGGAAUAUUGGACAAUGGGCGCAAGCCUGAUCCAGCCAUACCGCGUGGGUGAAGAAGGCCUUCGGGUUGUAAAGCCCUUUUGUUGGGAAAGAAAAGCAGCAGGUUAAUACCCCGCUGUUCUGACGGUACCCAAAGAAUAAGCACCGGCUAACUUCGUG